rnacentral:rRNA from 1 species
GACGAACGCUGGCGGCGUGCUUAACACAUGCAAGUCGAACGGAGUGGCGAACGGGUGAGUAACACGUGGGUGAUCUGCCUUGCACUUCGGGAUACGCUUGGGAAACUGGGUCUAAUACCUGAUCGUGAAAGAUGAGCUCGCGGCCUAUCAGCUUGUUGGUGGGGUAAUGGCCUACCAAGGCGUCGGAGGGUAGCCGGCCUGAGAGCGUAGACGGCCACAUUGGGACUGAGAUACGGCGCAGACUCCUACGGGAGGCAGCAGUGGGGAAGAUUGCACAAGGGGCGGAAGCCUGAUGCAGCGACGCUGCGUGGGGGAUGAACGCCUUCGGGUUGUAAACUCCUUACGACAGGGACGCGGUACCUGGAUAAGAAGCACCGGCUAACUACGUGCCAGCAGCCGCGGUAAUAC